GCUCCAAUAGCGUAUACUAAAGUUGUUGCAGUUAAAAAGCUCGUAGUUGGAUUUCUGGCGGGAACGGUUGGUUGGUCCGACAAGGGGCUGUACUGUUACUGGUUUCCGUCAUCCUUGGGGAGAGCGGUUCUGGCAUUAAGUUGUUGGGGUCGGAUCCUAUCUUUACUGUGAAAAAAUUAGAGUGUUCAAAGCAGGCUUAG
rnacentral:rRNA from 1 species